AUACGUAGGGUGCGAGCGUUGUCCGGAAUUACUGGGCGUAAAGAGCUCGUAGGUGGUUUGUCGCGUCGUCUGUGAAAUUCCGGGGCUUAACUCCGGGCGUGCAGGCGAUACAGGCAUAACUUGAGUACUGUAGGGGAGACUGGAAUUCCUGGUGUAGCGGUGAAAUGCGCAGAUAUCAGGAGGAACACCGGGGGCGAAGGCGGGUCUCUGGGCAGUAACUGACGCUGAGGAGCGAAAGCAUGGGUAGCGAACAGGAUUAGAUACCCUGGUAGUCCAUGCCGUAAACGGUGGGCGCUAGGUGUAGGGGUCUUCCACGACUUCUGUGCCGUAGCUAACGCAUUAAGCGCCCCGCCUGGGGAGUACGGCCGCAAGGCUAAAACUCAAAGGAAUUGACGGGG
rnacentral:rRNA from 1 species